AUAACAAAAGUGUCGAAAAGCAAACAGAGCUGUCUUCCACCACAACAAAAUACUCCACAAAGGACAAUAAGAACACUUGUUGGAACUCGUCAUUUAUCGAAGUUAUUUCCUUACCCGCUUUGUGUUUUUUUUUUAAACGACGCUUGCUUCGUUCCACGUGUAGCCCACAAAUCCUCUCCGGUCGUGCCCGCUCCGGCUAAAAGCUAGCUGGUCUUAUCUUGUAACAUGUCCGCACUUUUUUGCUGUUGUCUUAACCACACUUUCUUGCUCUGAAGGAGACUUUAUUCCACUCAAGACGACGAAGAGAGAGGAGUCUGCCUGACUGGCUCACUGACAGGGGAUGAGAAGCCAGUAGCAGUUUCUGUUCCCAAAGCAGAGCCCUGCCGGCACUCUGCAGUCUUCCUUGGAUCCUACUCUGGUUUUCUUCCUCGCUCAGUCCUGGAAAACAUAAACAUCCUCUUAGCCUGUGAAGUUCCACACGGGUCAGGAAGUGAGAGGUGUCCCAGUCCCCAUGGCUGGUGUUUGAUUGGUGUUGGGACACCCAAUAAUUGGACUCAAAGGGGAGGAGCCUUCAAUGAGACCCUGCAGUGGAAGGGACGUAAGUUGACGUUACAGCGCACUGCCCUCUGGUGGACUAACGUAGGUAGUGCAGGCAACUCAAACCAAGGUAAUACAGUGGCGUCAAAUUCCUUAUCGCAAUUACGGCUUGUAUUAAUAUAAAUGUAUAAGGAUUCGACUCGUGAUAUUACAUGAUUGCCUAUGCAUUUGAUUAUUUUUUACAACAUUGUUAAAAU